UACGUAGGGGGCAAGCGUUGUCCGGAAUCAUUGGGCGUAAAGAGCGCGUAGGCGGUCCGGUAAGUCCGCUCUGAAAGCCCGGGGCUCAACCCCGGGAGGCGGGCGGAUACUGUCGGGCUAGAGUCCGGAAGAGGCGAGUGGAAUUCCUGGUGUAGUGGUGGAAUGCGUAGAGAUCGGGAGGAACACCAGUGGCGAAGGCGGUGGCCUGGACCGAUGCUGACGCUGAGGCGCGAAAGCGUGGGGAGCGAUCCGG
rnacentral:rRNA from 1 species